UACGAAGGGGGCUAGCGUUGCUCGGAAUCACUGGGCGUAAAGGGUGCGUAGGUGGGCAGGUAAGUCAGUGGUGAAAUCUUUGGGCUUAACCCGAAAACUGCCAUUGAUACUAUCUGUCUUGAAUGUUGUGGAGGUGAGCGGAAUAUGUCAUGUAGCGGUGAAAUGCUUAGAUAUGACAUAGAACAUCGAUUGCGAAGGCAGCUCACUACGCAAAUAUUGACACUGAGGCACGAAAGCGUGGGGAGCAAACAGG
rnacentral:rRNA from 1 species